UAGCAACGGAGCCAGUUUGUUGUUUGAAGUGAAAAAAAAUUUAGGUAAAGUAAUUAAAACCGAUUAAAUUCGGAUUCAUACAAUCCCAAUAGAUCUUAUGUUGACUGAGAAAUCUUGGGGCCAAUAAUAUAUUAUGAUUUUAAUCCACAAUAGGCCCAUUCAUAAAUGUGAAUUAAUGGGCCUCAUGAAAGCCCUGUAAGAUUUUAGGCCUAUACAAAAAUUUGGGCAUCAUUUCAGCCCAAUGAAUAUUCGUGCCCAACAAGUUUCAUCAAAGUAUGGCCAAUUUCAGCCCUAUUCAUGAAAUAACGGCCCACAUUUUUACCCACAUUUAAAAAUUCAAUCUUGAAUACCAUAUUCAAAUUCGAUUCGAAAUUCGAUUUCGAAUUUCGAACCAACACCCAAAAUAUCUCUCAUUCGAAUUUUGAAUACCUAACAAUCCAACAACCCAUUCAAAAUUCAAUUUCGAAUUUCGAAUUUCCAACCAAUUUCCAAAAUAUCCUCCAACAACCAAUUCAAAAUUCGAUUUCGAAUUUCGAAUCCCUAACCAAUUCCCAAAAAUCCUCCAACCAUCCAACAACUGAUUUAAAAUUCGAUUUCGAAUUUCGAAUUCCCAACCAAUUCCAACCAUCCA
rnacentral:lncRNA from 1 species